CACUAGCAAUUGAGCUGAAAAUGAAGCUCGGAAUAUGGAGGCAGCAGCUGCCCCAAUCCCGAUUCAGACCGUAUAAUCGGGUUCUAGACGGUGUAGAUGAUUGUUCGGUUCUAAUUAGUGGAUGCUUGGAAGAAAGUUGUCAUUGAAGUUUGGCUAUUAGUAAGAUGCAGCCGUGCAGACCCGACCCCGUCGACGUUCUGCAUCGUUGCAACUUGCAAGUGUGAGAAACAAAAUUGUUACGGUGCCGAUAGCUCUGUAGGGUUUAUUGAAUAUAUGCACUUCUUUAAAUAUUGUAAGCAAACUUUACUAAUUUCAAACAUUCUCUUAUUCAUGUA